rnacentral:lncRNA from 1 species
ACACUUGCUGGUUACCUUCUAAUCUUCAUAUUCAUGCAUCUAGUGCUAUCCUCCAUCCCCAACAAAUGACUUAAAUGAAUCAGAUAGGGAUUCGUGGAUAAUUUGUCACAAUUUCAGAUUGAUUUUUUUUUUCAUUAAAAUGUUUUCACAUAUUGAGAAUAUAAUAAAAAAAUUUACUGGAUGCUUGAGUCUUGUUUUGGGGGACUUUUUGUUUGUUUGUUUGUUUGUUUGUUUGUUUUUUGGGUUUUUUUGAGACAGGGUUUCUUUGUGUAGCCCUGGUUGUCUUGGAACUCACUUUGUAGACCAAGCUGGCCUUGAACUCAGAAAUCCGCCUGCCUCUGCCUCCCCGAGUGCUGGGAUUAAAAGCGUGCGCCACCACACCCGGCUUGGGGGACUUUUAAGUCUGUGAAGCUGUUAUCCCAAUGUUUGUAUAAUCCCUUGAAACAUGUUUUUCAUUUUUAUCCUGAUGAAUAAUUUGUGGAAUGGGAAUGAUCACUUCAAAUUUCACACCUUUGAGGUUUUUUUUGUCUUUAUUUUGAUUACCAGUUCUCCCCUUCUUCACUUUCCCAUUGUAAAAAUACAAACAUCUUUUUAAAACUAAAUUUUAUUUAUUUUGUGCAUGUAUUUUGGGUUGCUAUGCCAAGGCAUAUGAACAGAGCUUAGAAGACAACUUGCACAAGUCAGAUUCUCUAUUUUCACCAUGUCCUAGAAAUGUCAUUGAGGCCAUCCAGCUUGACAGCAUGUGUCUUUAGCCAUUGGUAACGGCCAUCUUGUUGGGGCCUUCCCUCCCCAUCAUAAGUGUCAGUAUUAAUCAGCUCUCAUAAAAAUUGAGGUUUUUUUUAAUAUAAUUUAUACUUGACCUGAACUCAAGAACUGUCCCAAAAAGUAUUAAUAUACUUCAAAGGCUAAUCAAGAAGUGUGGUAUAUUGUACUUAGUUUAAGGAGGCCCAAUAUCUGUUAGUUCUUAGCUCUCUACUCUUUUGCCAGAAAGAAAUUGGGUUUUAAAUGAGAAAGAAGAAACUUCUGGUUAAAGCCAUAAUCAUAUAAGAGAUCCAGAUCUGGGUCUGGCCAUAUGCUUCAUUGGUUGUAUGCUUCUUGUCUAAUGAUAAAGUGAUUUUGUCACUUCAUAAUAAUACCCUGUGAUCUGGUGAACGGUUUUGAAAAGGGACCCCCUUUCAUUUUAAAUUCAUGAAGACAGAUGGACAUCAUAGGGGGUGCUAUUUGGCCUUAAUAAGUAGCCAUUCUAAAAGGAGGGUAAUAGAAAGGAAGGAAGAGAAGAGAAGAGAAGAGAAGAGAAGAGAAGAGAAGAGAAGAGAAGAGAAGAGAAGAGAAACAAAGAAUUAAUUCAAUUCUUUUGUUUUUCAAGACAGGGUUUCUCUUGUAUACAACAGCCCUGGCUGUCAGUGGCCGGUACUGGUCCUGUGCCGUUAAUUCCAAAGGCAGAUGCAGGCACAUCUCUGAGUUUGAAGCUAGCUUGGUCUACUAGGACAGCCAAGGCUACGUGAAGCCUUGUUUGGAAAAAACUAAAACC